GGGGGGAGUGCAGGAUCCUGGGCUGUGUCCCCUGGUGCCUUGGGUUCCGGGGCCUGCACCGCUGGGACUGCGCUCCUGGGGCCUCGCAGCCCCCU
rnacentral:pre_miRNA from 1 species